UUUUCUGUUUCCCCUUUUCUCUCUUGCACACUGUGUUGCUUGUCUGUCUGUCUGUCUGCCUAUAUGUCUGUAUGUCUGUCUGUAUGUCUGUCUCCCAGCGACGUGUAGACAAUGCACUUUUUGCCUGACCCUCGCGUUAUUGUUAUUUGAGGUUGAAAUUUAAGUGGUCGUGUACAUACCUACGAUUUGAAAAAUCUUGUUUCUUCGAUCUUUUCUAGCUUGUUUUUUCUUUUUCUUUUCUUUUUUUUUCCUUUCUUUCUUUUUUUCUUUUACUUUUUCUUUUUCUUUUAAAUGGCUGAACCUUUCGUAAUUUUUUUUUAAAUUAAUAAAAGUAUCCAAGCGACGAAUAAAAAAAAUAAAAGAUUAUCUUAGCGAAAUCAAAAACGAAUAAAAUGUUGACAUUCGAUGAGAAAUUGUCACACUAAUUACGUUCACGUAGACAUUUUGUAGUACCAUAUUCAAGGUAUUUGUUCACACGACGCGAUAUUAUUUUGCAUAUUGCUCGUCGAACGUCGAGAUCUAAGAAACCCGUAUAGAUAUACAUAUAUAUAUAUUUUUUUUUUCUUUUUCUUUUCUUAACACAAUAAAAAUAUACGUCUUGGCGAGAAAUAUGAUCGGUGGCGAUGCAGCUUAAUGAUCAUUCGCACCCUCGUUUCCCACGUUAGUGUAUCGAGAUUCUCGAAUACAGGCGGGAAAGACCGGGCACAAGAAAGAUUUUCUCAGGAUCUUUCGAGCAGACAUGAACGGACAUUUACAGGAUGGACCCCCAGCAAGUUUGUCUCCUCGACUUGGAAACUUGUUUGGCUAUGAGAAAUUCUCCUUUUUUUACGGAUAAACAGGGGUGAAUCCCGUAUUGCGACAAUAAUGCCCCUUCGUCGCUAGAAGAAUAUUCGUAUGCUCGGGAAGCUGCACCUAUAGGGGGUCGUUGGACUAUAAGACGAACGUAUCUAUUAUCAUAAUAAAGGCCACCUAAAUGUUAUGUCGUAUUAAGUUAUAGCUUUGUUUUUUCUAUUUUCUAUGAGAAUGCAAUAAAUAUCACUGUUUUUGCACGAAUGA